GACGAACGCUGGCGGCGUGCCUAAUACAUGCAAGUAGAACGCUGAAGGAGGAGCUUGCUUCUCCGGAUGAGUUGCGAACGGGUGAGUAACGCGUAGGUAACCUGCCUGGUAGCGGGGGAUAACUAUUGGAAACGAUAGCUAAUACCGCAUAAGAGUAGAUGUCGCAUGACAUUUGCUUAAAAGGUGCAACUGCACCACUACCAGAUGGACCUGCGUUGUAUUAGCUAGUUGGUGAGGUAACGGCUCACCAAGGCAACGAUACAUAGCCGACCUGAGAGGGUGAUCGGCCACACUGGGACUGAGACACGGCCCAGACGCCUACGGGAGGCAGCAGUAGGGAAUCUUCGGCAAUGGACGGAAGUCUGACCGAGCAACGCCGCGUGAGUGAAGAAGGUUUUCGGAUCGUAAAGCUCUGUUGUAAGAGAAGAACGAGUGUGAGAGUGGAAAGUUCACACUGUGACGGUAUCUUACCAGAAAGGGACGGCUAACUACGUG
rnacentral:rRNA from 1 species